GAUGAACGCUGGCGGCGUGCCUAAUACAUGCAAGUCGAGCGAACGGACGAGAAGCUUGCUUCUCUGAUGUUAGCGGCGGACGGGUGAGUAACACGUGGAUAACCUACCUAUAAGACUGGGAUAACUUCGGGAAACCGGCGCUAAUACCGGAUAAUAUUUUGAACCGCAUGGUUCAAAAGUGAAAGACGGUCUUGCUGUCACUUAUAGAUGGAUCCGCGCUGCAUUAGCUAGUUGGUAAGGUAACAGCUUACCAAGGCAACGAUGCAUAGCCGACCUGAGAGGGUGAUCGGCCACACUGGAACUGAGACACGGUCCAGACUCCUACGGGAGGCAGCAGUAGGGAAUCUUCCGCAAUGGGCGAAAGCCUGACGGAGCAACGCCGCGUGAGUGAUGAAGGUCUUCGGAUCGUAAAACUCUGUUAUUAGGGAAGAACAUAUGUGUAAGUAACUGUGCACAUCUUGACGGUACCUAAUCAGAAAGCCACGGCUAACUACGUG
rnacentral:rRNA from 1 species